UAUAAUGGUUAAAACUAAUAGAUGGAUUGAUAUUUAGGUUUUAAAAAAUUAGCGGGGACAUUUAAAACUCUAAACCUUGGUAGGCAAAAGAUGUUUGGCCGUUAUUCUUUUGCUCAAAUUGAAAUAUCUUACGGGAUGAGAAAGAUGGGUUGCAAAGAAUUCCAUGAAGGCGACAACGCAAAUUCCAAGCACUUGCGAAGGACCUUUCAUUGAGAAGUUUAUCAGUCAUCUUACUGGAUGAGAAAGAUGGGUUGCAAAGAAUUCCAGGAAGGUGAUAACGUAAAUUCCAAGCACUUGCGAAGGACCUUUCAUUGAGAAGUUUAUCAGUCAAAAUAUUAGAGUGAGUCGAACUUCCUCUCCUUGUAGUUCUGAGACAUGGUUAUUUAAUUAAACCAAGCAUCAAAUUUCAUCUACAGAGUUGUUAUCAUGCUGCACAAGACACACACGGGCAUAAAAUUAUUAUUUAUCUGAUUUAUUUUUAAGUGCAAUUGUUGUUAUAAAGACAUGAAUUUGUUGCUCAAGGGUUCAACUUUCAGCCCCUAAACAAAUAUUUCUUGUCUCACUGCGGUUUCUUGCACUACAAUAGAGGAGAAGAUGAUUAAGUUUACCAAAUUCAUUCUAAAUGACAGUACUCACAAUUGGAGAACAGUGCCAGGAAGAACAGUGCCUGCGCAAGUCCCAGAUACACAAACACGCUUCCUACAGUCCCUGCAUUGAUAGCCAGUAGAACCUCAAACAUCCAUUCUGAUUCUCUACAAUGUGGCAUGGUCACCCGUGUUGCAGCAAUAAAAGCAAUUGCCAUGAAUGACACAGCCACCCACACGAACUUCUUACACAAAUCCUUUGCUUCUGUUAAGGACACUGGCUCUAGUGGUUUAUCAUCUUGAAAAUCUGGUUUUUUUAAGGAGGGAACAUCAAGUAAAUCCUUUGUUGACAUUGGUUCCUUGUUUGGUGUUGGCAAGAAACCACAAGAUUUGCUGAUGCGCUUGCGUUGAGACUUGGUGAUUUUGCUGACAUGCUGGAACUUGGUGGUGUAGUCAUAACCUCUGGCUGGUAGCCAAGUUUGAAGUCUAAGGGCAACUCAUGACCAUUGCCUAUAUCAAUCAGAUAUUGAAGCAGGCUCCUGUUUUUUAUCUCAAGUAUAUCUUUGGAGUUUUCAAGUGUCGGUUGUUGAGCACUAAUUUGUUGGACCCCUGUUUCCUCUAGAGACUGCAAGAUGUAAUAUGGUGUUGCCACAUUGAUCUUUCUUAAGGAGAAGAUCAGAUGAUGUGAAGAAAUUUGCCAGGGACACAAGUGUGUCAUAUUGGUUGAAAUUUACUGCAAGAUGGAACACUGUUUCUCCCUCUUUUGUCAGAUCCUGGAAUGAAAGCAAGGUCUUGAUCAAGCCUCAAAAACAAUCUUGUUAUCUCCAAGUAUCCUCUGCUACAAGCACAGUGUAACGGAGAAUACCCAUUCUUGUUGCUCUUUCGAGCAAAAUUUGGCCGCACCUCCAGUAUGUUCUGAA